GACGAACGCUGGCGGCGUGCUUAACACAUGCAAGUCGAACGAGGCCCCGCCUUCGGGUGGGUGUUCCAGUGGCGAACGGGUGAGUAACACGUGGGCAACCUGCCCCCGGCUCUGGGAUAACUCCAAGAAAUUGGGGCUAAUACCGGAUAUGACCGCUGACCGCAUGGUCUGGUGGUGGAAAGUUUUUCGGCUGGGGAUGGGCCCGCGGCCUAUCAGCUUGUUGGUGGGGUAGUGGCCUACCAAGGCGACGACGGGUAGCCGGCCUGGGAGGGUGACCGGCCACACUGGGACUGAGACACGGCCCAGACUCCUACGGGAGGCAGCAGUGGGGAAUAUUGCGCAAUGGGCGGAAGCCUGACGCAGCGACGCCGCGUGGGGGAUGACGGCCUUCGGGUUGUAAACCUCUUUCAGCAGGGACGAAGCGCAAGUGACGGUACCUGCAGAAGAAGCACCGGCCAACUACGUGCCAGCAGCCGCCGUAAGAC
rnacentral:rRNA from 1 species